GGGCCGCUAGCUCUCGGGCUGGGCUGGGCUGGGCGGCGACGCGGGAAGGGGGCCG
rnacentral:miRNA from 1 species